ensembl:lncRNA
AUUUGGAGAGGAUCCCUUGUCGGGCCGGAGGGAAGAAGGAAGUGGAAGAGGCAGAGAGACGAAUCGGGUCGCAUUACUGAGGUCUCACCACGAAUCUGCAAAAUGCAGGACCAGAGUUUGGUUUCCCUUCUUUCAUGCGGUGCCUUGGUUGUUCAUCAGAUGCUUCUGCCUUUCCAUCAUUGAGUCUGGAAGAUGGAUAAAAUGGAAAUUGGUUGUGACUUCCUCUCUGUUCACCUGAUGAAUGCAGUGAAGAAUGAUGCCGUUUCAAAAGAUGUGAAUUUUGACCUUGCUG